rnacentral:lncRNA from 10 species
UCUUCGGGGCCAAGAGAACUUUAAGAGUUAGCCAUUUCUUGACCGCCAGCUAAAUAAGCAGACUCUUAAUUCAUGUGAAAGUGUGGCAUUUUCUCUAACUCUUUCAAGUACAACAUUUGGAGGCCCCAGCGAGAAACGCCAUGAGGCGAGAGCCGGGCUCGCUCCGGGCUCCCCCAGAAGGACGGCCGGCUUGUUGGGGGGUGCCACCUAAAAAAAAUUUUCAGGUCCUCGAAAGGUGACCGUCUUCCAGAGGAGAGCGGAUCGACUACCGUGUGGGUGACCAUAAAAAUUCCACCUCUGAGUCCUCGACUUCUGACCCCAAGGUCAGGCUGACCACCACAGUCCUGUCUUUUCUGCCAGAAGCAAGUCAAGUGUUGUUACAAGAACAAGUGUGAAAAACAUUUGCCUGAUUAAGAUUUCUAGCACCAUGAAAGUUGUAAGUAUUUAGAUCGCCAUACUCCUCGUCCAAGUGAUUAGACCUCCUCUAAAUAAACCAGUAGUGAGUUCAAAACAGCCACCCUGCAGAUUUCCUUGCUCACCUCUCUUGUCAUUCUGUAACUUUUCCUGUGCCCUUAAGUAAAACACUGUGUAAAGAAACGUACGCCCGUACUGCUUUACUUCGUUAAGAUUCUUACUCUGUUCCUCUGUGGCUACUCUCCCAUCUUCAAAAUGAUCAGAGUAGUCCUUUUCCACCUUGUCCCUGCCCCCUAUCCCGCACAUCUCGUUUUACGGUGCGACAGCAAGUUUACCGUCUCCAGGACUUGGCUCUGCUCUCA